UAAUACUUUGUGUCUUGCUAUCAUGUAUGUUGUGGAUGAAGAAAAUUAAAGAGAUAUUUUAACUGAAUAUGACAGAAGUAGCAAAGGCAUUAAAAUUCCGAACUGCCUAAUGUCCGCAUCCUUGAUGUGUUGAGCCAGCAGCCAAGGUUCAUUUUUUUAUCUGUCCCUCUUAAGAUGUUAGAGAGUAAGUGGCAUUCUUAUAAUGAAGCCUUUUAACAUAUCCUUGUAGAGUAUCUUUCUGUUUAUGCAUAUAAAGAUAUUAAAAGAUCCAUCCACUGUUUUCCAACAACAACCACACAGCUGGUAUCCAUUCUAAUAGGUGAUAAGAGUUUUUUUGGGCAAAUCAUUAAUUAGUUCAGCAUGUUCAAACAGUAGAGCGAAUUUUGAAGCUAUUUCCAAAGGCCUUUCAUUUCGGUGUUAGAGGUGCUAACCUUCGGAAUAUUUAUAUAAUGAAAUCACCCGCUUUGCUCAACAAUGAAGAGUCUUUACCUUUGCAUCAGAUAGUAUUACACAUACAAAUUAUCCUAGCAGUCAUAACUCAGUGAGAUUAUUGCUUAGCACGGGCUGUUACUCAGCCUUUGACCAUUCUAGAUAACUUGAACCCAAUUUUGCGCUUUCUGUUUGCCUGUGAUUCAACAUACUCUAUUAGCUUUUCAGAGCUGAGCCAUUCAAAAAGAAUAAAAAGGCUCAGGGAUGAAAAAAUAUUUUUUGUACUUCUGCAAGAAAGAAAGACAAACUGCCUUUUGGCGUGGUCCAUGCAAAAUGCAAGCAAGAUUCGACCAUCCCCAGUACUCAUGCUUUUUCUCCAUAUGCAGGACAGGUGUGGUGCAUGCAUUGGGUGCGUAUGUUACAGAAUCUGUAAGGUAGACAGGUCCUCUUCGUUGAUUGUAACCGUUGACUGAAUUGUAGCCUAAACAUUUCUUACCUUUAUAAAUACGUACCUGUUGGUUGUGCUUAUGCUCAUCCAAAACCAAAAGAGCACUUUUCCAUCUUCUGUUCUAUGUCACAAGCUUCUUUCAUUGAUAGUGCUUAAGUUAAACCAAAAAAAAAAAAAAAAAUGGCGAAUUCCCGCAUUACAAGGUUCGUUAUGGAGGUUGCACCACCACAGUUUGUUAGUGUCAUGAGGCACAGGACUGCUAAGAUGUUGGAUACUAUUAGUGAAGAGGAGAAAGAUGCAAAUGCAAGUGAUGCCCGUGCUUCAACUCCAAGAACUUUUUCUUCUUCUUGCGUUUCUACUACUUCCUCAUCUGCUUCUGCUUCUGCUGUUGUUGCUGGUUCGAAGAAUUUUCUUCGGGGAGUUCAAAUUCAGCGAUCUUUUUCCAUCUUUGAGAAUUAGCGAGCCUUAGAAAUGGCUUGUUAGCACUGUACUCUCUUGCUCUUGUGUUUGUUUCGCUGGCGGAGUCUAGCGGGUUGGGCUGGAUUGACCUAGACUAGCUAAGACUGUUGCAGAGGGAGGCUCUAGUUGCAUGGUGUUGUACAUGUGCAGAGUUAAAAGAUUUCUGUAACGAUGAUUUCGCUCUAAUACUUUGUGUCUUGCUAUCAUGUAUGUUGUGGAUGAAGAAAAUUAAAGAGAUAUUUUAACUGAAUAUGACAGAAGUAGCAAAGGCAUUAAAAUUCCGAACUGCCUAAUGUCCGCAUCCUUGAUGUGUUGAGCCAGCAGCCAAGGUUCAUUUUUUUAUCUGUCCCUCUUAAGAUGUUAGAGAGUAAGUGGCAUUCUUAUAAUGAAGCCUUUUAACAUAUCCUUGUAGAGUAUCUUUCUGUUUAUGCAUAUAAAGAUAUUAAAAGAUCCAUCCACUGUUUUCCAAC
rnacentral:lncRNA from 1 species